CUUGAUGGUGAGGCCUGUGUUGAUUACAUUGUCUUUUGAUGUGGCUGAAACUGAAACCCCAUGUGCUAGAGCAUCCUUGAACAGACUGGAGGAGGGUUUGGCUGGUUUAUCAUCCAACUCCAUCCUCAAAUAUCAAAUGAAUCUUCACUUCACUACCUCUUAAGGAUCUGCACUAAUCUUCUUCUAAGAAACAUUACCCACCUCACAAAAUGCACUUUUGAAUGCUCUCGCAGGCUCUGAAGUUGAGAAAGCUUUCUUCUUUCUAGAGAUGCAAUUUGAGUGGCUGAAAGCAAGAGACUGGCACAAGAAGAUGUAAUGCAACAGUGGCAUUCAAAGCAGGAGUCAUUCAUCUGCAACUGCAUGUGAUCUUCCACCUCUCGAUGUGGGGCCUUGUCUCUUUCAGACUAGCGGCAAGUCACUAGCGCAAACUGUUUGCCUCAGCACCUGGGAACAGGUUUUUGACCAAGCGUCAUCAGCUUCAGUCGUAGGAUAUAACAUGAAGAAAGGGAAACGUUCACCAACAAGCUUUUGCUCUGGAACACAAUCAAUCGAUGGCAUUUAAAAUCACUUCUCCUAAAAUAAUGCUGAGAGUUAAAGAAAGGGGAGGAUCAAAAGUUACUUUCUUUGAAUCCAAACAAUCAUUGCAAACAAAGGAAAGAUAAAGGUUUGCGUUGACAGAUCAUGAGUAAGUUCAUCACAUCAAUAAAACAAGACAAAAUGGGUGCCCAAGAUACAGUUGGGAAAUGAUUAGAACUGACCUCUCAACUUGUUUCACUUCUCAGGCAAACAAGAAAGUAUCAAAUCAUCUCUCUCUCUCUCUCUCUCUCUCGCCCCCUCUCUCCCUGGAUUUUGAUUUGAAUAAACAAGAUGUACAGGGAGGGAAUCUGAUGUAUGGGUUGGAUCUGAGAGGCUUUGAACAAUUUUUUUUUUAAAAAGAGAGAGACCCACAAGAAGUGCUUCAAAAGGAGUUUGCAGGGUGGCUCAAGCACAAGUGAGUUGAAUGGGUGCAAUAUUCUAUAUGCUUAGUUUAAUAAUUUUUCUUGGGCUGUGGUAAUUUCUUUUUGUUUUA